rnacentral:rRNA from 1 species
CCUACGGGAGGCAGCAGUGGGGAAUAUUGGACAAUGGGGGGAACCCUGAUCCAGCGACGCCGCGUGAGUGAAGAAGUAUUUCGGUAUGUAAAGCCCUAUCAGCAGGGAAGAAAAUGACGGUAUCUGACUAAGAAGCCCCGGCUAACUACGUGCCAGCAGCCGCGGUAAUACGGAGGGGGCAAGCGUUAUCCGGAUUUACUGGGUGUAAAGGGAGCGUAGACGGUGCAGCAAGUCUGAUGUGAAAGGUUAGGGCCCAACCCCGGGACUGCAUUGGAAACUGUUGUACUAGAGUACAGGAGAGGUAAGCGGAAGUCCUAGUGGAGCGGUGAAAUGCGUAGAGAUUAAGAGGAAGACCAGUGGCGAAGGCGGCUUACUAGACUAUAACUGACGUUGAGGCUCGAAAGCGUGGGGAGCAAACAGGAUUAGAUACCCUAGUAGUC